AUCGGCUCUCAAACUAAUUGAAAACAUUACAUUACCCAUGCGGCGAUUUAGAUGUCAAUGUCAAAUGACAAUGACAAAUUUAAAUGUAUCGAAAACCUUUUGUUCAAGAAGAUUCAAGAUGUACCAAAAUGUUUAAUAUGAAAAGGCAUGUAAGAAAAACUAUGGUUUUACCUUAACAAUUUCGAAUGAUGACUAAACCAACAUGAUCCUAUUAGCAGAAAUGGAUGUAUCCGUCCGAAACUUGCUUUCAAUCGUUCAAUUCCAAACCCUGUUCCAUCUUUUUUUGUUGCCCGAUUGCCCUGCAUUUUCAUGGACCUUAGAUUUGGAACAAAUAUAAGUAGCGUAACGAGCGAAAACCGCAAUUUCCAAAAAAAAGUUUCACAUGAUUAGAUUAUAGGAGUAAAAUGCAUGGCAAAACACUUCAAACAGAGUUUGGAAUGAGGGGAAAAUGAAUGGAUGUGAAAGUGAUGUGCCUGGGCUGGUUGGGUUUGGUUUAUGUAUUUGUUUUUAGCAAAGAAGAGAAGAGGAGAGAAGGCGUCAUGUGCCUAAUUCAAUGUGUCAAUUGUGUUGCUCAGACUCAGUUUCAGAGUUUCUGAAAUUCAGUUUCGGUUUCGGUCUCGGGCUCCGGCUCCGGAUCAGACUCAUUCUCGUCAUCGUUGGCGGGCAAUGUUGGUCGUCUCUCUCUCUUGUCUUCUCUGAAGAAAAAGGGAGUUUGAUUAAUGUAAAAGCUGCCACUGAUAUGUCACACGCAUGUCAAAUUCUGACAUUUGACAUUUUGCCAGCCGACUGACGAUGCCGCCAACUUCGACGCCGACGCUGCUCUCUCAGGCUGUUGCUGGUUACGGAUUGCUUGGAUGAGCAAUACAACUGGCUGGUUUGGCCAACCACCAGCAAAAGCGUAUUUGGUGGUGCAAGUUUCCAAGUUUUCCUUCAUCAGCUUAUUUUUUUUUGUUUGUUCAAUGCAAAGCACUCAAUGCGUUAAUAUAUCCGUUACUGUAUCAUUUUGUUUGUCAGUCCCAAAAAAAAACAUUUCUUCCUACCACUUUCCCUUCCCCUUCACUUGCUACUUUUCUGCUUAUCCUUCUGCUGGUAUAUUGGUUCAGCGCGAUCCUGUGCGUCCUGUGACCUGCGUUGUUGGCACUUGACAACGACGACAUUUGCGCAUAAAAAAUGCAACAUUAUUUGACUGCGAAUUAAUGUUAAAUUGUUGUACGAGUCGUGGCACUUUUACUUCCUUCUAUCCUCCGCCAUCCAUCCAACCAACCAACCAUCCAUCCAUCCAUCCACUGGUUCGGUCUGCUCAGUUCGUUGAUGUGGGAAAUGUCACUUUUUGACAGCCAACACCGACAAGUUCCAUCCCUCUGGCCCAGAUUCGGUAUAAACAUUUGAUUAAUCACACAGACGAACGUUUUACACUCUGGCCAAAGAUCAAAGCACUCUUCAUUCCUCAUUCUCUACUCUUUCAUUCUUGGGCUCCACAGCUUCAGUCCGUCAAUGCCUUCUGCCAGCCUUUUUGGGGGCCUCCUCCUCAUCCAACUAGUGAGUGAAACUAUUCGCGCAUUAUGUCUAAAUAAACAAACAAGCCACAAGCAACUAGAAGAAAAUCAAAAUUGUGGAAGAAAAAAAAAAAAUCAAAAUAGAAAUCCGUCGAUCGGUAAUCAAUCAUUAAGAUGUAUGGCGCUCCAUUGAGGAGGAGGUCUGUGUGGGUGGAAAAUUUAUUUGAAAAACAAUUUUCAUGAAAAGUAUGCGCAUACAAAACUGACAGCAUUUGGGUGUAAAGAAAAAUCAACAAACUGCCUGGCCAUAAUAAAUUGCAAUCUACAUACUGAACGGGACUCCAACUUGGAGUGGAUUUUUGGCGACCAAUGCGCCGCCGAGGAGUUAGGGAGAGAUAGAGAGAGAUCUGCAAAAAAUCAAGUUAAAUUCAUAGAGAUUUUUUCAAAAAAAUUCAAUCGAUAUUGUGCAAAUUGAUUGAUGGAAGUAAAUCAGAUGUUAAACGGUUUCGGAAUCACG